UAAUUUAUAUUUUAAUUAAGAUUAUUAGAAAUUUAUUUUUUAGUUAUGAUUGGGGUGAUUUUUAAAGAUUAUUAAUCUUUAAAAUUUUUUAAUAAAAAAGUUCCAUUAGUAGUGAUUUUUUGAUAAAAAUACUCUAGGGAUAACAGCGUUAUUAUUUUGGAUAGUUCAUAUAGAUAAAAUAGUUUGCGACCUCGAUGUUGGAUUAGGAUUCUUUUAUGAUGAAGAAGUUAUAAGGGAGAAGUUUGCUCAACUUUUAAAGACCUACUUGAUCUGAGUUCAGACCGGG
rnacentral:rRNA from 1 species